rnacentral:rRNA from 1 species
UACAGAGGUCUCAAGCGUUGUUCGGAUUCAUUGGGCGUAAAGGGUGCGUAGGUGGCGAGGCAAGUCUGGUGUGAAAUCCCGGGGCUCAACCCCGGAACUGCAUCCGAUACUGCCAUGCUUGAGGGUUGGAGAGGUAGCUGGAAUUCUCGGUGUAGCAGUGAAAUGCGUGGAUAUCGAGAGGAACACUCGUGGCGAAGGCGAGCUACUGGACAACAUCUGACGCUGAGGCUCGAAGGCUAGGGGAGCAAAAGGG